rnacentral:rRNA from 1 species
CGGCGGACGGGUGAGUAACACGUGGGCAACCUGCCUGUAAGACUGGGAUAACUUCGGGAAACCGAAGCUAAUACCGGAUAGGAUCUUCUCCUUCAUGGGAGAUGAUUGAAAGAUGGUUUCGGCUAUCACUUACAGAUGGGCCCGCGGUGCAUUAGCUAGUUGGUGAGGUAACGGCUCACCAAGGCAACGAUGCAUAGCCGACCUGAGAGGGUGAUCGGCCACACUGGGACUGAGACACGGCCCAGACUCCUACGGGAGGCAGCAGUAGGGAAUCUUCCGCAAUGGACGAAAGUCUGACGGAGCAACGCCGCGUGAGUGAUGAAGGCUUUCGGGUCGUAAAACUCUGUUGUUAGGGAAGAACAAGUACAAGAGUAACUGCUUGUACCUUGACGGUACCUAACCAGAAAGCCACGGCUAACUACGUGCCAGCAGCCGCGGUAAUACGUAGGUGGCAAGCGUUAUCCGGAAUUAUUGGGCGUAAAGCGCGCGCAGGCGGUUUCUUAAGUCUGAUGUGAAAGCCCACGGCUCAACCGUGGAGGGUCAUUGGAAA